rnacentral:rRNA from 1 species
AUUGAACGCUGGCGGCAGGCCUAACACAUGCAAGUCGAGCGGAUGAAGGGAGCUUGCUCCUGGAUUCAGCGGCGGACGGGUGAGUAAUGCCUAGGAAUCUGCCUGGUAGUGGGGGAUAACGUCCGGAAACGGGCGCUAAUACCGCAUACGUCCUGAGGGAGAAAGUGGGGGAUCUUCGGACCUCACGCUAUCAGAUGAGCCUAGAUCGGAUUAGCUAGUUGGUGGGGUAAAGGCCUACCAAGGCGACGUUCCGUAACUGGUCUGAGAGGAUGAUCAGUCACACUGGAACUGAGACACGGUCCAGACUCCUACGGGAGGCAGCAGUGGGGAAUCUUGGACAAUGGGCGAAAGCCUGAUCCAGCCAUGCCGCGUGUGUGAAGAAGGUCUUCGGAUUGUAAAGCACUUUAAGUUGGGAGGAAGGGCAGUAAGUUAAUACCUUGCUGUUUUGACGUUACCAACAGAAUAAGCACCGGCUAACUUCGUG